UACGGAGGGAGCUAGCGUUAUUCGGAAUUACUGGGCGUAAAGCGCACGUAGGCGGCUUUGCAAGUUAGAGGUGAAAGCCCAGGGCUCAACUCCGGAAUUGCCUUUAAAACUGCAUCGCUAGAAUUGUGGAGAGGUAAGUGGAAUUCCGAGUGUAGAGGUGAAAUUCGUAGAUAUUCGGAAGAACACCAGUGGCGAAGGCGACUUACUGGACACAUAUUGACGCUGAGGUGCGAAAGCGUGGGGAGCAAACAGG
rnacentral:rRNA from 1 species